rnacentral:misc_RNA from 1 species
UACGGAGGGGGCUAGCGUUGUUCGGAAUUACUGGGCGUAAAGCGCACGUAGGCGGUUUACCAAGUCAGAUGUGAAAGCCCCGGGCUCAACCCGGGAAUAGCAUUUGAUACUGAUUGACUAGAGGCCGGGAGAGGGUAGUGGAAUUCCCAGUGUAGAGGUGAAAUUCGUAGAUAUUGGGAAGAACACCGGUGGCGAAGGCGGCCAUCUUGUCCGGUACUGACGCUGAGGCGCGAAAGCGUGGGGAGCAAACAGG